AGCCAUAUCACGUUGAAACAUUGGUUCUCCUAUGAUCACCGAAGUUAAGCAACAUCAAGCCUGGUCAGUACCCAGAUAGGUGACUACUUGGGAGUACCAGGUGCUGUAAG